rnacentral:lncRNA from 1 species
AUUUAAAAUUAAAUUAUUUGCUUCCAGUUUAAUUGACACUAAUAUUACGCGCCUUGUCAUUUAAAGUGGAUCUUUUAUCGCUGAACGUCUGGGAAACAACAACACUUCCUCGAAUCGCCACUAGUGGCCGCUGUUGUCCAGCUGAAGGUGCGAGCUCGUGAUAAGGUUCUGCCCCGAGGAGGUGAAGAUAUGACCAUGGAGACCAGCUCACAGGGAGGGAGACACUACACCAGUUAAAUAUUCAGCCCGGGGCCGCAUCCAGUUUGGCCUCCA